rnacentral:rRNA from 1 species
GACGAACCGAGCGAACGUUGUUCGGAAUCACUGGGCUUAAAGGGCGCGUAGGCGGGUGCUCAAGUCCGUGGUGAAAUCCUCCGGCUCAACCGGAGAACUGCCUCGGAUACUGGGCGUCUCGAGUGUGGUAGGGGUAUGCGGAACUAUCGGUGGAGCGGUGAAAUGCGUUGAUAUCGAUAGGAACUCCGGUGGCGAAGGCGGGUCUCUGGGCCGAUACUGACGCUGAGGAGCGAAAGCGUGGGGAGCGAACAGG